AGGGAUAUAGCUCAGUGGUAGAGUACUUGCCUAUCAAGCAAGAAGCCCUGAGCUUGGUCCCUA
rfam:Ictidomys tridecemlineatus contig051008, whole genome shotgun sequence.